AAACCUCCCCCCUCUUAAAUCAGCCCGCCCCUCUGACAUGGAGGGCUGGAAUCAACUUGGUGACCUUCGCAUUGGACUUGGCACGAUCUUUGUAAAGACAGUGAUGCUUUGUUUUCCAGAUUCAAAUUGCAGGACGCAGACUUUGUAUCCGACAGGCACCGAGGGUCAGGCUCAUAAGCUGCUGGGGUCGUUUCUGUUUCCGACGGGACAUGCUGCUGCAGGAUGGAACCGACGCAGGGGCGCAUUGGCCAACACACAACUUUUAUCCUGUCUCCCUGCACACUGAAAAAAGAGACAGAACUAUAUUGACACCUUUGGAAGUAAUUCAUAAAUUCACGUGAAGAGACCCAGAAGAAAUGGGGCAGGAAGGAGGCAGACGAUGGAGAGCAGCAACAAAGAGAAUCUGGUGUGGAUGAUGAAGAUGUAAUCCAAAGUGGAGUAGACCAUUGAAAGGAUCCACAUGCAAAUGGAGAUCAGGAUGGAUAACUUUGCACUCUACUUUGUGUGGUACCACAUAUACCUCUCUGCAGAAAUCAGCAGCAGGUCCUAAACUGCAGGUCAGGCCAAAGCGGACAAACAGUCAUGCAAUGCAGCGGGCCCUGGUGAAAGGGUAGAAGGUGGCAUCAGAAAAUCUGUUUAUGAUAAAGACAACUGUGAUCCCGAUCUGGAGUAGAUCUGACACGAGCAGGUUAAUGACUAAGAUCAGAGAUACUUUGUCCUUCUUGAGUAGAGACAGGACAGCGUAGCAGCCCAGGCAGACAUCAGGUAGUCCUACAAGGAAUAUGACGAGUUAACGAAGUUGAGUGUUUUAAAUCUAAUUAAUUACUUAUCGUUCAAAUUAUUCCCACCUCUGUUUCCUGUAAGAGUGAAGUCAUUUAAUGUCCUUUCAUCAGGCAGUCUCAGGCUUUAAGUGACAUUUCAUUCACUCAUUUCAUGGGUGAGGAAUUAUGCAAACUGCAUAGUGCAGUUGGUCUUGGCGAAUGUUUACCAUAUAAAUAUAUUGGUCAAGUCAAAUCUCUAUUUUGUUAUCUGCAGUGGAGAUAUGACACCCAUCCCUCUGAUAAUAAACUGUGUCGUCGACCCACUGACGACACAGAAAGACAGAGGAGCAGUUGUAAUAGUUACCACAUGUAUUCUCAAUUAAAAACACAAAAGAAAACUUUUUUUCUAUUUUUUAUUUUGCGUAACCGAGCCCAAACACAUACUGCACAAUACAGCAUCUACAUGAACAAUGACACUAACACAUGCAUGCUUCCACACAUAAAUACUUAAGUGAGACUCUGUAACAAACACCAGCCACUUUGGCCACAAGUCUUAAUUUCAAAUGUAGCUUUCCGUAGGAAAUAUAGCAAAAAGUUAGAAAGUCAGCAGAGUGACUCAGUAACGUCAGUUACAUAGCUGCACCUAACACCAGCUAACAUUAACCACUGGUCAUAGUAAGACCAGAUGAAGUGAGGCUGAGCAACACAACCCCUGAGUGUAUAGAACUGAACAUUGGUGAAUGUAUAGUCUUCAUUUGUAAGAGGCAGUAUAUGAUUUCUUUUUCAAAACGUAGUCUCACUUUAAAACACACUUUAGAUAUGAUAUGUUGUUACAUGGCACUGCUAUAAUUCUGCACAAUCUAAUACAGUUUGACCUUUGACGGACCUGACCUUAAAAUAAUCUAGAAAAUAGCUGUCUCCACACAAAACCUAAAGAACAACAAAAGAGGAAAGUCCUUACAAGUAUUCAAGAACGCACAACAGCUCUGUCAGCUGUACAAUACCA